GGGGGGUGGCAGGGUGGCAAGGGGAGAGACAAGCAGGACUCUGGCAGCUUUGCAGAAGGAAAUGACCUUGAAUUCAAGUUCUGCAAAAUAGAUACAUGUGUCGCCUUUUCAGUUGGUUUCUCAAUGUAAAGAAAACAUACUCUACUCUUAAUAUUUCUGUGGUUCCACUGCUCUUUUGAAUUCAAGACGGGAGAUCAACUUGCAGAAGCAGUCUUAAAACUUGAAAGAAGAAAUUCAGAAGGACCAAGAGAACAUGCUCUAUGUGGAGUAUAGACGUGUAUGAUAGGGAAACAUUACUGGAAGUUUAACAUUUUUAGUAGAAGCUAUAUGACAAAACUCUAUGCAAUUUCUUCAUAAUGCUUCAUACUUCUUGGUCUGUAUCACAAGUGGCACUCACUAGGUUUUGCAGUUUCCUUUUUCUAGACAUUUCCAAACAGCAUAGUUAUGUCCUAUAGUUCAUUGAUAGUUAAUAAUACAAAUUUUAUAUGUCAUCAAUCACUAUUCAACAAAUAAGUAAAAGUAGAUCAAAAGAAAGCAGAUGUAAGCGCAACAUGAAGUAAGAUAGUUGAAUUUUAUAAAGGUACCACUAAUAUGUGUUACAUGUAAUAGUAGCAACUUUCCAAGUAUCAACUUGCUCAAACUAUAAGAUAAAGUGAAAAUCUAUAAAAACCUCUGUAGAACUGCUCCAUUUUAAAAUGGUACUUUUCAAGGGGAUUCUCAUAAUGCUUCAAACUCUGUCAUGAUUUUCUUCACACUCCUCAGCAAAUUAGUCAGUUCUUUUUAUAAGUAAACAAUGGUUCUUGUGUCAACUGUAUAAAGAGAAAAAAAUAUACUUUUAUUACUGGAAAGAUUUUUAACUUUUUUGGGGGCUGGUUUAAAAACUUGAGGAUUCCCUUUAGCUUAUGAAUUCAUAGCAUUCUCAUUCAUAAUAUCUUAUGCUAAAAUGUCUAGUAAAUUUUCAUUCAGUACUCUCUGGGCAUUUUAAUACGCUUUCAGUAGCACCUUUAUGGAUGUGUAAAAUUUUGAUUUCGCUAUUAUAAUGUGGAACUCAGUAAAUCAAUUCAUAUAGCUGUGUCAAAUGAAAUACCUUUAGUUGUACCAAACUAUGAGUUCUGAAUACCUGGAAUAUACAAGGAAUAUGCUGAAUAUCAAACAGAUGUUUCUGUGAAUGUUGAAUUUUUUCUGCUGUGGUACGUGUGAGUUAUUGGUAUUCUUCAAUGUAUUUUUAUUGACAAUUUCAGCAUGCAAUUGUAGAUGGGUUCUAAGAAUUGGAAUAGUGCAGGUGACAAAACAAAGGGUGGAAAUAAAGUAAAAAGUAAAAUGAAAUAGGCUGAAUUUCAUGUAAACUGUGUAAUUAUUUGAACUUCAAUUAAAUAAGUAAAUAAAAUGUUUUCUUCAGAAAUGCAA